rnacentral:lncRNA from 1 species
AAAUGAGGAUGAUUAGGAUAGGAGUAGAUUUUGUAGGAUAAUCAGGAGUUUGGUUUUGGGCAUGUUAGUUUGAGAUGCUUAUUAGAGAGUCAAGUAUAGAUACAGAGUAGGCAGUUGGAUAUACUAGUCUGAUGUUUCCAGGAGAUGCUCAGGCUAGACAUAUGUAAAUUUGGAAAUCAUCAGGGUAAAGAUGUUUUUGAAGCCUUGGGAGGGAUUAGAUCAUCAAAGUAGUGAGUGCGACAAGAGAAGAAAAGUCCACCAAUAGAGUCCAGGGGAACUGCAAUGUUCCAAGAAAUCAGAAAAGGAAAAUCCAGUGAGAUAGGAAGAAAACUUGGGCAUUGUGGAGUUGUGGGACCAAGUGAAGAAAAGUGCUCAAGGGUGUGGAGUGAUGGGCAUUUCUGAAGGCAGCUACGACAGGAACUCCAGACAGGAGUAAGUGAAAGCCUUCCCACGAGAAGCAGAAAUGAGUUUUGCCAUCUUCAAGGGCCUUGGAGUCUUCCAUGGGAUCUUCUGCCUCCAUCCAGGAGACAACAGAAGGAGAGUGGAAGACUGUGGAUUACUUUCAUUCACAUUCUACUGACCAGAAUCCAGUUUCACGGUCCCACUUUACAUAAGGGAUUGGGAAAUAUACUUUACUCUGCGACCACGAAGAUGAGGAAAAAUAUGGAUAAUGAAAAGGGAACGGAAGCUCAGGCAAGUGACAACCCAGGACCAGAGAUGGAGCCUCUCCCACCCUGUCUACCCUUCUUUAGGAAAAUCAGCCACAUUUGUUUCCACUUAACGCAUCAGAUUACAGAAUUCCCUCAUAUUCUACAUCCUACAUGCUUCCCUCCAAUCUUUCCAGCCCUGCUUCCUACGCUUCCUGGUCCCUGCACAACUGCACAUACUCCUCUAGCCCUAACUGCAGAAAUAUAAAAGCAAAAUGCAUUGAAAGUAUCAUUUAGGAAGUUCUGCCCACUCUGAAC